rnacentral:rRNA from 1 species
CGAACGGGUGAGUAACGCGUGAGGAACCUGCCUCAAAGAGGGGGACAACAGUUGGAAACGACUGCUAAUACCGCAUAAGCCCACGACCCGGCAUCGGGUAGAGGGAAAAGGAGCAAUCCGCUUUGAGAUGGCCUCGCGUCCGAUUAGCUAGUUGGUGAGGUAACGGCCCACCAAGGCGACGAUCGGUAGCCAGACUGAGAGGUUGAACGGCCACAUUGGGACUGAGACACGGCCCAG